AGAAGCAGAUUCUGGGCCAGGGUCCACAUUUCAAACUAUGCCUGGAGGGACUAACACCUUCCUCAGAGCCUGUGUGCAGGGCUGGAAGGUCUGAUGAUUUUAUGGGUUGUCCUGACAGAGAUUAUUGGAGACUCCUUUGGUCUGCUGAUGUGAGUUGAACCAGGGAUGGUGAAAAUCAGGGGACAGAGAAGGGUAACUAGGGGCCUGAGUGUCAGCUCCAAGUCCCUUCUCCCUGGAUGAUUUGUCAGGAGCCUUGAGCUCAGUCUAGUUACAGAAUCUUCUUCACCAUCUGCUAGUUAUAACACUCCUAAAGCCUUGAGCUGAUGCCUGAGAGGAGUGGUUGUCUGGGAGGAUUUGGAGGAAGGCACAUGCAUGAAGACGAAUGGCCAUUUAAUCAUACUCAGUGCUGGUGAGCUGGAGCUGAGAAAUUAGCAGUGACUAAGAAAAGUCCAGCAUUAUUGAGGUGAAGUCUUCUGGGAAGUGUUUUCUGAGAGCACACAGAAGCUGUGUUCCAGAGAUGGCCAAAGUUGUAUUUCUCCACUGGCAGCCAAAUUUGGUCCUGUGGAAGAACCACCCAGGUGACACUGGUUCAUGGAAGAGCAGCUGAGUCUUGGCACUGACAAUACAGCCUCAGUGGCAGCUGAAGGCCCAGGAUUGAAAGGGUCAUACAGAGAAGUCGAGGCUUGUCACAAUGAAGAGAGCCCAGGAGAGUACUGGUAUAAGUCCAGCCCAGUUGCAGUAGAAGACCCCAGCAUUUUGGAGAUGCAAGUACCAUGGGAUGACCAUCAAGAACAGCAGCAGCAGUGGAGUGGAGCCAGCCAGAUCCUAAAAGACAAGCUGUUUGUGCUACAGAGGGCUGAGCUGCAGAAGUAACUCAAGCCCCUUAGAGGAGCCCAGAAGAUCUUGAGUGCAUCUCUGACAUUGGAACAUGCACUAUUUACAUUUUUGGAGUUUGGUUUUGCUUUGCUUUGCUUUGAUUGCGAUUUUGACCUAGUUCUUCUCUCUUGAAAUAUAAUUUAUUUUUGAUUUUACAGAAGUCCAAAGUUGAGAGACUGAAUUUUAAAAGAGAUUGAUUAUUUUAAAGAGAGAGAACUUUUAAUGUAUUUGAAUUUGUGAGGAUUGUGGGACCUUUAAGUUGUUAAUGUUUUAUAUUGUGAUAUAAAUAUUAACAUAACAUCUUGGGGAUAAAUGAGAAAAGAAAGGUUCUAAUUAAAAAGUGAUAAGUUGGGCCUUGAGAUCAGCAAUUUAGAGCACUGGCUACUUAUCCAGAGGUCCUGAGUUCAAGUCCCAGCACCCACAUGGUGGCUAACAGUGUCUGUAACAGUAGUUCCAUGGGAUUUAAUAUACUCUUCUAGUGUGUAAGAGUACAUGCAGACAAAAACACCCAUAUACAUAAAAUAU
rnacentral:lncRNA from 1 species